AGGCCUACCCAGAGGAUGCACAUUUCUUUAUAGUUGCAGAAGCUUUAAUCAAGAAGCACCCUUGUUUGAAAGAACUUGGCUCAUUCAGGUAGCUAUGGUUGGAAGCAGCGACUGAAGUACAAAAUGGGAAAGUGCAGGGUUGUCCAGAGCUAUCAGUAAAUUCCCUGAAAUCCAAAGCUGCUACAGAUGCUUUCCCUGCUAAAAAAGUGAAGAGACCAAAACGAGCUGAAGCUAACUUUUAUCCAUCCUUCCCUGCUGGUGAGACUUUGGAGAAAGCCUUGAGAAACGGAGACUUGAACUUCUCACAGGGAUCAGAAUAAGGGCUCGCACAUUUGCCUACAGAAGACAGGAGGUGGUGAACCAAGAACCCAGCAUUAAAGACUUCAAGGAAAGAUGGCCUGCACUGUUCCAACAGAAAAAGAUUAAUGCAGAGUUCCAGAGGCUCAUGGCCAUUCAUCUAGAGAAGUUCAUGGCCCAGUUAGACAUGCACUCAAGUGAGCUGAUCAAAGUCAUCCGUGCCAAAGGAGGAGCAACAUGCCAAAAGACAAGUGACAUCAUGGAUACUUUGGACAAGACCGAAGACAUUCAUGUUCGGAGAGAGUGUGUCCUGAAGGCUCUCAUCUUCUUCCUCUGAGAAAAUGCAGAUGACCUGAUCAAGGAAUAUACUGACGAUUAUGCUCAGAGGGACCUAGAGCAGCUAACCAUGGCAGUGUGUGCCAUUCGCAGGGAGGGGGAAGGGCUGCGGGAGCCACCUGAAGACAUUGGCAUUGUCAUUGAGGGCGUGGAAGUGUUGCAUGAACUGACCUCAUUCGCCUCAGCUUGUGCCUUGCUUCUAGGUUUGAUAUAUGUACUCAACCUAGCUUAUCCCAAACCUCUUCGUUUCACUUUUGAAGUGCUUCAGAAAAUCAUCAUGCAGCUUGACCAGCAUAAGAUGUCCCCCAAAGUUCAAAAUCUGUAUGGCAGACUUCAAAGCUUGCAGUAACAACAC